AUUAAACGCUGGCGGCAUGCCUUACACAUGCAAGUCGAACGGUAACAGGUCUUCGGAUGCUGACGAGUGGCGAACGGGUGAGUAAUACAUCGGAACGUGCCCAGACGUGGGGGAUAACGAGGCGAAAGCUUUGCUAAUACCGCAUACGAUCUAAGGAUGAAAGCAGGGGACCGCAAGGCCUUGCGCGUGUGGAGCGGCCGAUGGCAGAUUAGGUAGUUGGUGGGAUAAAAGCUUACCAAGCCGACGAUCUGUAGCUGGUCUGAGAGGACGACCAGCCACACUGGGACUGAGACGCGGCCCAGACUCCUACGGGAGGCAGCAGUGGGGAAUUUUGGACAAUGGGCGAAAGCCUGAUCCAGCAAUGCCGCGUGCAGGAUGAAGGCCUUCGGGUUGUAAACUGCUUUUGUACGGAACGAAAAGGCUCUGGCUAAUACCUGGGGCACAUGACGGUACCGUAAGAAUAAGCACCGGCUAACUACGUGCCAGCCGCCGCGGUAACAC
rnacentral:rRNA from 1 species